AGUGAACGCUGGCGGUAGGCCUAACACAUGCAAGUCGAACGGCAGCACAGUAAGAGCUUGCUCUUACGGGUGGCGAGUGGCGGACGGGUGAGGAAUACAUCGGAAUCUACUUUUUCGUGGGGGAUAACGUAGGGAAACUUACGCUAAUACCGCAUACGACCUACGGGUGAAAGCAGGGGAUCUUCGGACCUUGCGCGAUUGAAUGAGCCGAUGUCGGAUUAGCUAGUUGGCGGGGUAAAGGCCCACCAAGGCGACGAUCCGUAGCUGGUCUGAGAGGAUGAUCGGCCACACUGGAACUGAGACACGGUCCAGACUCCUACGGGAGGCGGCAGUGGGGAAUAUUGGACAAUGGGCGCAAGCCUGAUCCAGCCAUACCGCGUGGGUGAAGAAGGCCUUCGGGUUGUAAAGCCCUUUUGUUGGGAAAGAAAAGCAGCAGGUUAAUACCCCGCUGUUCUGACGGUACCCAAAGAAUAAGCACCGGCUAACUUCGUG
rnacentral:rRNA from 1 species